AAUUUAAAUCCCUUAACAAGUAACAAUUAGAGGGCAAGUCUGGUGCCAGCAGCCGCGGUAAUUCCAGCUCUAAUAGCGUAUAUUAAUAUUGUUGCAGUUAAAAAGCUCGUAGUUGAAAUUUGGAACUUUAUUGUAUUGGUUUGCCUUUUGGUGAACUGUAUAAUGGGUUUCUUCCUACUAGAGUUCGAUUCUGUUCUUAACUGAAUGGAGUAGCUAUCUCUCGGGGUAGUCAGUUGGUUAUUAUGUCUCCACUAAUGAGCAGAGAGGAGUAAAAUCUUCAAAGUAAGUUAUGUGGAUCAAGGUAUAGUGAUUAAUUGGAGUUCUAGUUCAUUUACUUUGAGAAAAUUAGAGUGUUUAAAGCAGCCUCUUGGGGCACUGAAUACAUUAGCAUGGGAUAAUAAAAUAGGAUCUUCACAAUAUAUUUUAUUGGUUUAAAUUGCGUAUGAAGAUAAUGAUUAAUAGGACAGUUGGGGUAUUCAUAUGGGUGGUUAGCGGUGAAAUGCUCGGAUCCAUUCAAGAUGAACU
rnacentral:rRNA from 1 species